rnacentral:rRNA from 1 species
GACGAAGGUGGCAAGCGUUGCUCGGAAUUACUGGGCAUAAAGGGCGCGUAGGUGGCUUGGUAAGUCGGUGGUGAAAUCCUGUGGCUUAACCACAGAACUGCUAUCGAUACUGCUGAGCUCGAGGACGGGAGGGGAGAAUGGAACUCCUGGUGUAGCGGUGAAAUGCGUAGAUAUCAGGAGGAACGCCGGUGGCGAAAGCGAUUCUCUGGACUGUUCCUGACACUGAGGCGCGAAAGCUAGGGGAGCAAACAGG